rnacentral:rRNA from 1 species
GACGAACGCUGGCGGCGUGCUUAACACAUGCAAGUCGAACGGAAAGGCCUCUUUCGGGGGGUACUCGAGUGGCGAACGGGUGAGUAACACGUGAGUAACCUGCCCUUGACUUUGGGAUAACUUCAGGAAACUGGGGCUAAUACCGGAUAGGAGCUCCUGCUGCAUGGUGGGGGUUGGAAAGUUUCGGCGGUUGGGGAUGGACUCGCGGCUUAUCAGCUUGUUGGUGGGGUAGUGGCUUACCAAGGCUUUGACGGGUAGCCGGCCUGAGAGGGUGACCGGCAACUUUGGGACGGGGUUCGGGCCAAGACUCUUAGGGGAGGAAGCAGUGGGAAUAUUGCACAAUGGGUGGAAGCCUGAUGCAGCAACGCCGUGUGCGGGAUGACGGCCUUCGGGUUGUAAACCGCUUUCGCUCAUGACGAAGCUUUGUGUGACGGUAGUGGGUAAAGAAGCACCGGCUAACUACGUG